rnacentral:tRNA from 1 species
AUAGUUGUGCUAGUUGGUUAGAGCGCCGGAUUACCAAUCUGAAGACCACAGGUUCGAAUCCCGUCGGUCGUC